rnacentral:rRNA from 1 species
GAUGAACGCUGGCGGUAUGCUUAACACGUGCAAGUCGAACGGACUCUUCGGAGUUAGUGGCGGACGGGUGAGUAACGCGUGAGAAUCUGGCUUUGGGUUCGGGACAAACACUGGAAACGGUGGCUAAUACCGGAUGUGCCGAGGGGUAAAAGAGAAAUUGCCUGAAGAUGAGCUCGCGUCUGAUUAGCUAGUUGGUGAGGUAAAGGCUCACCAAGGCAGCGAUCAGUAGCUGGUCUGAGAGGAUGACCAGCCACACUGGGACUGAGACACGGCCCAGACUCCUACGGGAGGCAGCAGUGGGGAAUUUUCCGCAAUGGGCGAAAGCCUGACGGAGCAAUACCGCGUGAGGGAAGAAGGCUCUUGGGUUGUAAACCUCUUUUCUUAGGGAAGAACAAAAUGACGGUACCUAAGGAAUCAGCAUCGGCUAACGCCG